UACAGGGGGUGCAAGCGUUAUUCGGAAUUAUUGGGCGUAAAGCGCGCGUAGGCGGUUCGGUAAGUUUGGUGUGAAAGCCCUGAACUUAAUUCAGGAAGUGCAUUGAAUACUGCCGGACUGGAGUACUGGAGAGGAGAGUGGAAUUCCUGGUGUAGAGGUGAAAUUCGUAGAUAUCAGGAGGAACAACAGCAGCGAAGGCGGCUCUCUGGACAGUCACUGACGCUGAGGCGCGAAAGCGUGGGGAGCAAACAGG
rnacentral:rRNA from 1 species